rfam:Deltaproteobacteria bacterium RIFCSPHIGHO2_02_FTLL_38_15 rifcsphigho2_02_scaffold_46, whole genome shotgun sequence.
GCGCCUAUAGUUCAAUGGAUAGAGCGUAAGCCUCCGAAGCUUAAGAUGGUGGUUCGACUCCACCUAGGCGCA